AGGAACUGGUCCUCAAUCACAUGAAUUGGACUACACAGACAAAAGGAUAAUAAUGAAGAGCUCUCCGUCGUUUUACGGAAGUAGCAUGAAUCGCAUGGAUUUGCGAAACACGACACCUUUUUCUCAAACAAAAUUUUUGUGGUGGAACAUUGACCAGCGGCCCACCGAUGGGACUGCAUUUUUCGCAACUUUACCUUUUUCUCAAACAAAAUUUGUGUGGUGGAACAUUAACCAGUGGCCCACCGAUGGAACUGCAUUUUUCCCAACUUUAGACAUAAUCUUUCAAUGAGUCAUUAUUAUUAUGAAAUUAGAGUUUGACUAUUUAAUUUGAUUUAUUCUUCUUAUGAUUUUGAACAUAUGUAAAGUAUAGAAGAUUAAACUAUGUAAGGA
rnacentral:lncRNA from 1 species